rnacentral:rRNA from 1 species
UACGUAGGGUGCGAGCGUUACUCGGAAUUACUGGGCGUAAAGCGUGCGCAGGCGGCUUUGCAAGACAGAUGUGAAAUCCCGGGCUCAACCUGGGAACUGCAUUUGUGACUGCAAGGCUAGAGUACGGCAGAGGGGGAUGGAAUUCCGCGUGUAGCAGUGAAAUGCGUAGAUAUGCGGAGGAACACCAAUGGCGAAGGCAAUCCCCUGGGCCUGUACUGACGCUCAUGCACGAAAGCGUGGGGAGCAAACAGG